GGGGGAAGCUGGGGGGUCAGCAGGGAGGAUACUGGGGAUACUGGGGGGAUAUUGGGAGAUACCGAGCAGCAAUCACGGAGGAUGCUGAAGGGAAGCCUGAGGCGCACGUGGGGACACUGGGGGAUGAGCGAGGGAUACUGGGAGGUACUGGGAGGACUUCGGGGGCAUGGAGGGAGCUUGUGGGGCACCCCAAAACCCCCCACACCCCCUUGCGGGCGGCCCUGGGCAGCGGCACUGCCCGCACCGUGCCCAGGAACCGCAGCGGAACCGAGCCCGGGACACGCACCGGGACCCGGCCCCGCCACCCCGGAACCGGGACCCGGCCCCGCCACACCGGAGCCGGGACCCGGCCCCGCCACACCGGAGCCCGCGGAGCCGGACAGCCGUGAGGACCCCGCGGACAGCCCCGGGGCUCACAGCUCCCGGGAGAUGGAGGAGAGAGCUCUGCGGGAACUCAUCCGGCGGCUCCGCGCCGAGCAGGCGGCGGUGGAGGGGUCCCUGCUGGACGCCCCCGAGCCCUCGGAGCCCCCCCGGGAGCGGGACCCCCGAGGCCGGGCGGAGCGGGCGCUGCGGGAAGCGCGGGCGCUGCUGCCCGGCUGGAGGCGGCCCGAGAAGGAGGAGCUGCUGCAGGAGCUGGCCGUGCUCAAGGUGGGCUUGGGAUCCCUCCCUGGGUCCUUUCCUGGAUCCCUCC
rnacentral:lncRNA from 1 species